rnacentral:tmRNA from 1 species
GGGGCUGACUGGUCUCGACCGUGAUUAGUGCCGCCGCCAGGGGAGCGAGCCGAGGAGCCGACGCUGCCUCGUAAAUCCGCGUCGGGAACAAUAGCUGCCAACGACAACAUGGCGCUGGCGGCCUAAACAAGCCGCCUGUCGGUCUCCCGGACGCCCUGUAGGGAGAACCGGCAUCGACACAGGGCUCCACCGAGUCAGUCGCGCCAUCAGGCUGGCCGGGAAACAUGAAGAUGGCUAGGAACCUGCAACCGCCCGGCUCCGGGGUCGCAGGUCUGAACUUGUCCGGAGCCUACGCUCGUAGAGCCCCAGUGACGGGAUCGCGGGACCCGGGUUCGACUCCCGGCAGCUCCACAG